rnacentral:rRNA from 1 species
CGCGCAGGCGGCCUCGUAAGUGAAAUGUGAAAGCCCCUGGCUCAACCAGGGAAAUGCGUUUCAUACUGCGGGGCUUGAGUGCAGAAGAGGAUGGGGGAACUCCCGGUGUAGCGGUGAAAUGCAUUGAUAUCGGGAGGAACACCAGUGGCGAAGGCGCCCAUCUGGUCUGCUACUGACGCUCAGGCGCGAAAGCUGGGGGAGCAAACAGGAUUAGAUACCCUGGUAGUCCCAGCUGUAAACGGUGGGCACUAGGUGUAGGGGGCAUCGACCCCUCCCGUGCCGCAGCUAACGCAUUAAGUGCCCCGCCUGGGGAGUACGACCGCAAGGUUGAA